GAAAAUGUUAACUUAAUCAAUCAGUUAUGCAAAGUAUUGAAGUACUCCAUAAUAAUUUCUAAGUUUGCCAGAAUGGUUAAUGAUUACCUUAGGUUGGUAGACUAUGGUGCUUUAUUCACAUUCCUGAUAUUUAUAUCUCUUUCAAUUGGAUGCUGUACAUGGUGUUACUGUAUUAGAGCCCAUGACAAAGCAAUGCAGCAUUAUGUGACAAACUUGGCAAAGCAGAAGGGACUGCAAG